rnacentral:rRNA from 1 species
CCUACGGGGGGCUGCAGUGGGGAAUAUUGCACAAUGGGCGCAAGCCUGAUGCAGCGACGCCGCGUGAGCGAUGAAGGCCUUCGGGUCGUAAAGCUCUGUCCUAAGGGAAGAAUAAUGACGGUACCUUAGGAGGAAGCGCCGGCUAACUACGUGCCAGCAGCCGCGGUAAUACGUAGGGGGCGAGCGUUAUCCGGAAUCACUGGGCGUAAAGGGUGCGUAGGCGGCCCUGCAAGUAAGUAGUUCAAUCCCUCGGCUCAAGCGAGGUCAUCUCUUGAAACUGUAGGGCUUGAUUGCGGGAGAGGCAAAUGGUAUACCCAGUGUGGCGGUGAAAUGCGUAGAGAUUGGGAGGAACACCAGUAGCGAAGGCGAUUUUCUGGAACGUAACUGACGCUGAGGAACGAAAGCGUGGGGAGCGAACAGGAUUAGAUACCCCAGUAGUC